UCACUGAUGGUCUAGUGGCUAGGAUUCGGCGCUCUCACCGCUGCGGCCCGGGUUCAAUUCCCGGGAAGGGAA
rfam:Gasterosteus aculeatus cont1.011330, whole genome shotgun sequence.